rnacentral:sRNA from 1 species
UUGUCCGGGAUCAUAUGUUGUUCGAACAGGGUCCAAUUUGCGCAAGGAAAAACACUAUCAACCCUUGAAUCGCUCUUGCUGAGAAUCUCUCGGACGCCGCUAACUCUCAAUUGUGCGAAAGCUAGCUCUCAAUUGUGCGAAGCGAUUUCUUGCAGCCUUUACACAUUAGGGUGGGACGCUUUGCUCGUGAUUUUUUUUUUUUUUUUAAAUAAAAUUUUUCAGUCUGAAGUUCGGAGGAAGUGAGACAGAUGCUGGUCAGGCAGCUUGACAAGAAAGGGUAGCUGCUCCAGAUAUAGUUCGUUUUGGUUAUUCAUUGGGUCUGGUUGAUCUGGACUUGAACGAGUUCACCCUUCCUCCGGUCGUAUAAUACAUAACAUUCGACUGCAGGCAGAGAACGAGGAUAUGCAAACUGCGAAGGGGAUGGCCUGGGGCGGAGAUAUCCAGCACUUUCUGGUGGAACGUAUCCUCCCGUCCCAGUUGCACAGAAUAAAAGAGGACUUACCCAGGUAGACCCUUGAGCCCAGCAAUCCGGAACAACAGCAUGCCCUUCCGUUCCGUUAUUUAGAAGAAGUUAGAUCGGGGCGAGGACAAGCAAGACCCCACUAAACUAAGAGGCGAAGUUAGUAUUACUACGAG